UACGGGGGGGGCAAGCGUUGUUCGGAAUUACUGGGCGUAAAGGGCUCGUAGGCGGCCAACUAAGUCGGAUGUGAAAUCCCCAGGCUCAACUUGGGAACUGCAUCCGAUACUGGAUGGCUUGAAUUCGGGAGAGGGAUGCAGAAUUCCAGGUGUAGCGGUGAAAUGCGUAGAUAUUUGGAGGAAUACCGGUGGCGAAGGCGGCAUCCUGGACCGACAUUGACGCUGAGGAGCGAAAGCGUGGGGAGCAAACAGG
rnacentral:rRNA from 1 species